rnacentral:rRNA from 1 species
AUUGAACGCUGGCGGCAGGCCUAACACAUGCAAGUCGAGCGAGCGGCGGACGGGUGAGUAAUGUCUGGGAAACUGCCUGAUGGAGGGGGAUAACUACUGGAAACGGUAGCUAAUACCGCAUACCAUCAGAUGUGCCCAGAUGGGAUUAGCUAGUAGGUGGGGUAACGGCUCACCUAGGCGCCGAUCCCUAGCUGGUCUGAGAGGAUGAACAGCCACACUGGAGCUGAGACACGGUCCAUGGUCCGACGGGUGGGAGAAGUGGGGAAUAGUGCACAAUGGGUGCAAUCCUGAUGCAGCCAUGCGGCGUGUGUGAGGAAGGCCGUCGGGUUGUAAAGCACUUUCAGCGGGGAGGCGUUACCCGCAGAAGAAGCAACGGCUAGCUCCGUGCCAGCAGCCGCGGUAAUUC